rnacentral:rRNA from 1 species
GACGAACGCUGGCGGCGUGCUUAACACAUGCAAGUCGAACGGUGAAGCGCCUUCCUUUUUGGUGGGUGUGGAUGAGUGGCGAACGGGUGAGUAACACGUGAGUAACCUGCCCCCUUCUUCUGGAUAACCGCAUGAAAGUGUGGCUAAUACGGGAUAUUCUGGGUCUGUCGCAUGAUGGGUCUGGGAAAGAUAUUGUUUCGGUGGGGGAUGGGCUCGCGGCCUAUCAGCUUGUUGGUGGGGUGAUGGCCUACCAAGGCGGUGACGGGUAGCCGGCCUGAGAGGGUGGACGGUCACACUGGGACUGAGACACGUCCCAGACUCCUACGGGAGGCAGCAGUGGGGAAUAUUGCACAAUGGGCGCAAGCCUGAUGCAGCGACGCCGCGUGAGGGAUGGAGGCCUUCGGGUUGUGAACCUCUUUCGCCAGUGAAGCAGGCCUGCCUCGUUUGUGGGUGGGUUGACGGUAGCUGGAUAAGAAGCGCCGGCUAACUACGUG